rnacentral:rRNA from 1 species
UACGUAGGGUGCGAGCGUUAAUCGGAAUUACUGGGCGUAAAGCGUGCGCAGGCGGUGAUGUAAGACAGUUGUGAAAUCCCCGGGCUCAACCUGGGAACUGCAUCUGUGACUGCAUCGCUGGAGUGCGGCAGAGGGGGAUGGAAUUCCGCGUGUAGCAGUGAAAUGCGUAGAUAUGCGGAGGAACACCGAUGGCGAAGGCAGCCUUCUGGGCCAAUACUGACGCUCAUGCACGAAAGCGUGGGGAGCAAACAGG